GAGGGAUUAAGAGGAGGUGAUUGUAUUAUUCCUCUUUUCAGAUAAUGGAGAGAGAGAAGAGAACAGCAGUAGCCGUUGCCAGAAAUAUUGAUUGUUGGUGGCAUAUAUAAUGAGUGCUGGGUGUUAAGGAAGCAAUGGUGAAGGAGAGACACCCUCCCGACCCUCAUGGUGCUUGCAGCCUAGUGGAGCUAUGAAAAGAUAGGCAAGUGAGUCCUAUGAUUGGAGAAGUAAUGAGAAGUAAUGAGAAGCGUCUUCUAAGCAUAGGGGUAAAGACUGCAAAGACCCUGAAGGGAGAAAGUAAUGGCCAUUCUGAGAACUGAAAGUUUGCACAGUGCACAGAGGGCAUGAAGAACGAAGGAAAGAUGGCAAGUUGCUUAAAACCUAAAGCUCCUUUCAAUUCUUUACAAUCCAAGAUUAUAUGGAAUGGACUGGGAACAAAGAGAGGGACUGGCAUUUAAAGUCUUUUAUACACUUUGGAACAAAUGUUAUUCUCCAUUCAUCCUGACACUAAAUUGGUUAGCCAAACCCAAAGAUCUACUAAUAAUCCUGCUUUGGCAUGGGAGAAUGAGUGAGAUAAGGAGGCAAUAGAGGAGAUGAAUCGACAAAUGGAAGGAAUAGAAUUCUGGUUGAUGUCCUUGUCUCUAAGCUGUAGCAGCAAAUGUUUCAAUUCAUGCCAUCACAUCUUUGAAAACUGGCAAUUCAACCUUGCCUUGAGCAUUUCCAUGUACAGGAAACACAUGAUCUCUUAAGGAGUCCAUUUCACCGUCAGACGGUUCUGAAGGAUGUGAGUGGUUCUCAACAUUGAAACCAGUGCUGGCUCCUGGUUUGAAUUUCUGUAGCCACUCCAGUCUCGUUCUUGUGCUCACCAUUCCUCCAAAUUGGCCGCCUAUGACUUCUAUGACAAUAAAUCCAAUGGACCCUUGCCAAGCUUAUCAUAUUUUCUCAGCAGCAUUUGACC
rnacentral:lncRNA from 1 species